rnacentral:rRNA from 1 species
UACGUAGGGGGCUAGCGUUGUCCGGAAUCAUUGGGCGUAAAGAGCGUGUAGGCGGCCCGGUAAGUCCGCUGUGAAAGUCGGGGGCUCAACCCUCGAAUGCCGGUGGAUACUGUCGGGCUAGAGUGCGGAAGAGGCGAGUGGAAUUCCUGGUGUAGCGGUGAAAUGCAUAGAUACCACCCAGAACUCCGAUUGCGAAGGCAGCCUACUGGUCGUUAACCGACGCUCAGGCACGAAAGCGUGGGGAUCAAACAGG